rnacentral:rRNA from 1 species
AUUGAACGCUGGCGGCAGGCCUAACACAUGCAAGUCGAACGGCAGCACAGAAGAGCUUGCUCUUUGGGUGGCGAGUGGCGGACGGGUGAGUAAUGUCUGGGAAACUGCCCGAUGGAGGGGGAUAACUACUGGAAACGGUAGCUAAUACCGCAUAACGUCGCAAGACCAAAGUGGGGGACCUUCGGGCCUCACACCAUCGGAUGUGCCCAGAUGGGAUUAGCUAGUAGGUGGGGUAAUGGCUCACCUAGGCGACGAUCCCUAGCUGGUCUGAGGGGAUGACCAGCCACACUGGAACUGAGACACGGUCCAGACUCCUACGGGAGGCAGCAGUGGGGAAUAUUGAACAAUGGGCGCAAGCCUGAUGCAGCCAUGCCGCGUGUAUGAAGAAGGCCUUCGGGUUGUAAAGUACUUUCAGCGGGGAGGAAGGCGGUGAGGUUAAUAACCUCGCCGAUUGACGUUACCCGCAGAAGAGGCACCGGCUAACUCCGUGCCAGCCGCCGCCGUAA